CGUAGGGGCGCAAGCGUUAUCCGGGAAUUAUUGGGCGUAAAGAGCUCGUAGGCCGGUUUGUCGCGUCUGCUGUGAAAUCCCGAGGCUCAACCUCGGGUCUGCAGUGGGUACGGGCAGACUAGAGUGCGGUAGGGGAGAUUGGAAUUCCUGGUGUAGCGGUGGAAUGCGCAGAUAUCAGGAGGAACACCGAUGGCGAAGGCAGAUCUCUGGGCCGUAACUGACGCUGAGGAGCGAAAGGGUGGGGAGCAAACAGGCUUAGAUACCCUGGUAGUCCACCCCGUAAACGUUGGGAACUAGUUGUGGGGACCAUUCCACGGUUUCCGUGACGCAGCUAACGCAUUAAGUUCCCCGCCUGGGGAGUACGGCCGCAAGGCUAAAACUCAAAGGAAUUGACGGGGACCCGCACAAGCGGCGGAGCAUGCGGAUUAAUUCGAUGCAACGCGAAGAACCUUACCAAGGCUUGACAUACACCAGAACACCGUAGAAAUACGGGACUCUUUGGACACUGGUGAACAGGUGGUGCAUGGUUGUCGUCAGCUCGUGUCGUGAGAUGUUGGGUUAAGUCCCGCAACGAGCGCAACCCUCGUUCUAUGUUGCCAGCACGUAAUGGUGGGAACUCAUGGGAUACUGCCGGGGUCAACUCGGAGGAAGGUGGGGAUGACGUCAAAUCAUCAUGCCCCUUAUGUCUUGGGCUUCACGCAUGCUACAAUGGCCGGUACAAAGGGCUGCAAUACCGUGAGGUGGAGCGAAUCCCAAAAAGCCGGUCCCAGUUCGGAUUGAGGUCUGCAACUCGACCUCAUGAAGUCGGAGUCGCUAGUAAUCGCAGAUCAGCAAC
rnacentral:rRNA from 1 species